CUGAAGAAGCAAAGAACCGUGUUUCACUCUUUUAGCCUACUUCCUGUUGUCAAACCGGUUCUGUUUAAAGGAUUUCCUGAUUCUGACGGUCAGGCCUGAGUGUGGUGAGCACAACCAAA